GUUAUUUGAGGUGGGAAAGGUUCCCCACGCGCUGCCUUUGCAAUUAUUAUUGCUCGGGUAGUUACCAGAGAUCAGGAGUGCCGCCCUGCUUAAC
rnacentral:ncRNA from 1 species